AUGGUCUUGGCCAUGGUGAUGGUCUUGGCCUUGGUGGUGGACUUGGUCGUGGUGAUGGACAAGGGCAAGGUCGUUAUAGAGGAAUGUUUGGAUACCUUGAUGGACCAUUUCCGUAUGGCAUCUUCCCAACCCAACAAACCAACAAUGAAGGAGGAUGGCGAAGAUGAGAUGGCGGGAUGGUGGGAGAAGGCUGCAAAGAAGCUUAGAGAUGAGGAUGCAGCCGCACUAAAGAAGAAGGAAGAGGAGCUUGAGGAGGAGAGGAAGGAAAGAGAGAGAGAGAGAGAGAGAGAGAGAGAGAGAGAGAGAGAGCAUCAAAUGUGA
rnacentral:rRNA from 1 species